UGAAAAUAAGAAUCGUCAUGUUUUCGUUACCGUAGAAUGAGCUGUUUAUAUCUACAUAGGAGACAGGUCCUGGUCCAUAGAGAUCACCAUGUUGCACCACCAUGUUUCUACAGUGGCCCAGAAUGGACAAACCGAACACUGGCUCUAGAUAGGACCAUUCAUGUUUUUGCCUUGGCUUGGUAGUUAGCAGCCCCUCUACAAUCAGAAUGUUGGAAACCACUAAUUUCUUUUAACGUGAAUCUGCUUUAUUUAGUGUUUUUACCAGAUUAAAUCACCUGGUCCAUUUGAUUUAGAGAGGAGAGACCUUCUACAGAAAAUUCUGCUCCUGGUAAAAACCUCCUGAACAAUGAACACUGAAGGAAUCCUAACCAGGAGAGGUUUCAGCUGGUUGUAAUCUGCAAUCGUCACUGCUAGAUGCCUCUAAAUCCCUCUAAAUCUCACAAUGGACCUUUUAUGGUUGGAUUCUGUUUUUAUUUUAAAUACUCUCGAAGCAUAAAAGGGCUGUUAUUUUAAAAAAAAAAAAAAGGAAAAAAAAGAAAAAAAUGCUGCCAAAAUCCCACCAUUUAUCAUCGUUAAUCGGCUCAUUGUCAAAUUUCCGACGGUCCCUGAACAAAUCAUGCGCAAUGACCGCUUCCGUCAGGAAACAAAAUCUAAACUCAAACCAGUGAUAUUUGAUCAAAAUCACCUUUUUCCACGUUUUUCAUUUAAACUCUCGCCGAAAAUACUGUUUGUACAAAUAAGAUCCUGUAAAAUUACACUGAAUUCUGCGCUCCUCGUGACAACAGUGAAAAGGCUUAUUUUAACUUCAACUUUCAACUCUUCGACCAUCAAAGGAGAGCUGUCGUCAGUGGUGUCCUGGCAUCGCAGCAGGUCUGCGUUCUGCUCGUCUGUUAAACUGCUCUGAGGUGGCGGUCCCCUUUGAAUAAGUUAGAAAACAGCUGCUGUAACUGAAAUGAAUGGACGUAGAGGAGCACAAAUCACUGCACAGCACAAAUGUGUGUC